rnacentral:rRNA from 1 species
AGAAGAGGAAAGUCGUAACAAGGUAAGCCUACCGGAAGGUGGUCUUGGAAUCAGAAUAUAGCUUAAUAAAAGCAUUUUGCUUACACCAAAAAAAUAUCCACUAGAUUAUUCUGACACUGUAAAUUUAGCCUUUCAUUUUUUCCUUUUUUCCCCACCAUUAAACCAUUUAAAUUAUAUUAGUACGAGUGACAGAAAAUUUAAUAGCGCAAUAAAUAAAGUACUGUAAAGGAAAAAUGAAAUAGAAAUUAAAUAAACCACAAAAGUAUUAAAAAGCAAAGACUAAUACUUAUACCUUUUGCAUAAUGGUCUAGCAAGUCUAACCCAACAAAAAUAUUUAUGUCGGAAACCCCGAAACCAGAUGAGCUACCUACGAGCAACACACCAGAAUAAUUCCUUCUCUGUAGCAAAAGAGAGUGAAAGACUCUUAGGUAGAGGCGAAAACCCAAACGAAUCUGGAAAUAGCUGGUUACUUGGGAAAUGAAUUAAGUUCAACUAAAAGCAAGGAUACCAAAAAGGAUACAUAAAGCUUUUAAUAUAAUAAAUUAGGGUACAGCCUAUUCUAUAAAGGAGACAGCCUACACAUAUGAAUAAAGAUUAAACCUAUAACUAAGUAGGCCUAAAAGCAGCCACCAAAAAAGCGUCACAGCUUGAUUAUAUAUUUUAAAAUAUUAAAAUAAAUUAUCUAAAUUCAACUAAACAACCAAGUUAAUCUAUUUUUAGAUAAACUACUACUAGAAUAAGUAAUAAGGAACACCUCUCAAUACAUAUGUAAAUCAGAACGGACCAUCACCGAUAAUUAACGAAAACAUUUAAUUAAACAAGAAACCAAAUCCUACAUACCGUUUACCCAACACAGGUGUAUAAAAGAAAGACUUAAAGCUUGAGAAGGAACUCGGCAAACCCAGGCUUCGCCUGUUUACCAAAAACAUCGCCUUUCGAUAAAUAAAUAUGAAAGGUCCUGCCUGCCCAGUGAUAAUUAUUCAACGGCCGCGGUAUUAUGACCGUGCAAAGGUAGCAUAAUCACUUGUCUUUUAAAUUGAGACCAGCAUGAAUGGCAAAACGAAAGCCAAACUGUCUCCUUAGGCUAGUCAAUGAAAUUGAUCUUCCCGUGCAGAAGCGGGAGUAAAAAUAUAAGACGAGAAGACCCUAUGGAGCUUAAAAAUAAAGCUAUAUAGACGCUAUAAUAACAUUAAAUUUAGGUUGGGGCGACCAUGAGGUAAAAUAUAACCCUCAAGAUAAUAAUUAGAAGGACACUUCAAAUAAAAUAAAAUUUAUAAAUGACCCAAAAAUGAUCAACGAACCAAGUUACCCUAGGGAUAACAGCGCAAUCCAUUCCCAAAGCCCAUAUCGAAGAAUGGGUUUACGACCUCGAUGUUGGAUCAGGACCCCC